UACGGGGGGGCAAGCGUUGUUCGGAAUUACUGGGCGUAAAGGGCUCGUAGGCGGCCAACUAAGUCCGACGUGAAAUCCCCAGGCUUAACCUGGGAACUGCGUCGGAUACUGGAUGGCUUGAAUUCGGGAGAGGGAUGCAGAAUUCCAGGUGUAGCGGUGAAAUGCGUAGAUAUCUGCAGGAACACCCGUGGCGAAAGCGGCGCGCUGGACCACUACUGACGCUGAGGAACGAAAGCUAGGGGAGCAAACAGG
rnacentral:rRNA from 1 species